AACUAGGAGUUGGAAUAGGAGCU
rnacentral:piRNA from 2 species